rnacentral:ncRNA from 1 species
AAUCAAGCGCGAAAAGGGCGUUUGGUGAAUGCCUUGGCAGUAAGAGGCGAUGAAAGACGUGAUACUCUGCGAUAAGCCAUGAGGAGCUGAGAAUAAGCUUUGAUCCAUGGAUUUCUGAAUGGGGCAACCCACCUGAUACUGUGUUAUUGUUGCCGCUUCGGCGGCAGUCAAUAAUGCGGUAAAACAGGUAUUUUUAACCUGAAUACAUAGGGUUAAAAAGGCAAACCCGGGGAACUGAAACAUCUAAGUACCCGGAGGAAAGGAAAUCAAUAUGAUACUCCCCUAGUAGCGGCGAGCGAACGGGGACCAGCCGAGCCAUGAGU